AACAAAGACAAUAAUAAACCCACAAGAACACAACUAAAAGAGGAUCCCUGAAGAACACAGCAAGCAGAGGCUAACUUUCAUAAAUUUAAUGUUCAUUUAUCAGGAGUAUGUGUCAACACAUCUUAAGUAUAAAUACUUAGUAAUGUGUUCCUUUCUAAUCCUAUGUGACAAGAGGGUCUUAACUAUUGCUUGAAGAUGAUUUACCAUAUCUUAAAGGUGCAAGCCAUGACUUAAUUUCUCUCUGCUGAAUAUUGUCCAAACAUCGAUGGUUAUAUAUUAUGUAAAAAUUCACAUUCCUCCUGUGGUUUAAUAUGUGACUUCAGUAACUGAAAUGAGGAGCACUGAACCACACAACCCAUCUCAUGCUUUCUAAGAGCCGGUGCCUUGAAGACAGUUUGGAGCUCACUUGAAGUGAUUAUAGAAAAACAUGUACACAACUAUAUAAAUCAGAGUUGGAAGAGACCAUAAGAGAUUACUUGGUCAGCUCCCUGGACUAUGAUAGGCUACUGAUUAAACUCAAGAAGUUUUUCAACAUUUGUUUCAAGGGCUGUCAACAUCAGAAUCCCAUUCAAGUAUCUGGUAACAAUACAAAUUCUUAGGCCUGACCGGAGGUCCACUGGAUCAGCUCUUGAGGGGGCCUGGGAAUCUGCACUUAAUUGAUUCCAGGAGAUUGUUAUGCAUAGAAAUUUGAGUUGUUUCUGCUUAGUCCCUAACUUGUGUCCAACUCGCAGUGACCCCAUGUACCCAUGGCCUGGCAUUCUGCACCUAAUUGAU